AACGCACCUUGCGCUCCUUGGUAUUCCGAGGAGCAUGCCUGUUUGAGUGUCGUGAAAUUAUCAACUCCCUUUCUUUAUUGAGAGGUGAGCUUGGACUUGGGGACUUGCUGGUGCAAAUUGGCUUCCCUUGAAUGCAUUAGCUGGAAUUUGAUUCGCAGCAUAUAUGCGGUGUGAUAAUGUCGUCACUGUGUAGCUCGGAUUGUCUGGCUUCUAAUCGUCCUUCACGGGACAAUUUGAUCUUUUUGACCUCAAAUCAGGUAGGACUACCCGCUGAACUUAAGC
rnacentral:misc_RNA from 1 species